rnacentral:rRNA from 1 species
UACGGAGGGUGCAAGCGUUAAUCGGAAUCACUGGGCGUAAAGCGCACGUAGGCGGCAACGUAAGUCAGAUGUGAAAGCCCUGGGCUCAACCCGGGAACGGCAUUUGAGACUGCGUCGCUCGAGUCUAAGAGAGGGGGGUGGAAUUCCAGGUGUAGCGGUGAAAUGCGUAGAGAUCUGGAGGAACACCAGUGGCGAAGGCGGCCCCCUGGCUUAAGACUGACGCUGAGGUGCGAAAGCGUGGGGAGCAAACAGG